GAUGAACGCUGGCGGCGUGCCUAAUACAUGCAAGUCGAGCGAACGGACGAGAAGCUUGCUUUUCUGAUGUUAGCGGCGGACGGGGGAGUAACAUGUGGAUAACCUACCUAUAAGACUGGGAUAACUUCGGGAAAGCGGAGCUAAAACCGGAUAAUAUUUUGAACCGUAUGGUUCACAAGUGAAAGACGGUCUUGGUGUCAAUUAUAGAUGGAUCCGCGCUGCAUUAGCUAGUUGGUAAGGUAACGGGUUACCAAGGCAACGAUGCAUAGCCGACCUGAGAGGGUGAUCGGCCACACUGGAACUGAGACACGGUCCAGACUCCUACGGGAGGCAGCAGUAGGGAAUCUUCCGCAAUGGGCGAAAGCCUGACGGAGCAACGCCGCGUGAGUGAUGAAGGUCUUCGGAUCGUAAAACUCUGUUAUUAGGGAAGAACAUAUGUGUAAGUAACUGUGCACAGCUUGACGGUACCUAAUCAGAAAGCCACGGCUAACUACGUG
rnacentral:rRNA from 1 species